rnacentral:tRNA from 1 species
GUUGGGUUGGACAAAUUGGUUAAGUCACCACCCUUUCAAGGUGGUCAAUAUGGGUUCAGGUCCUAUAUCCUCCGC